rnacentral:rRNA from 1 species
AGAAUCAACGCUGGCGGCGUGCCUAACACAUGCAAGUCGCACGAGAAAGGGUAGCAAUACCUGAGUACAGUGGCGCACGGGUGAGUAACACGUGAAUAAUCUACCUCCGAGUGGGGAAUAACUGAGAGAAAUCUUAGCUAAUACCGCAUAACACUUACGAGUCAAAGCAGCAAUGCGCUUGGAGAGGAGUUCGCGGCCGAUUAGUUAGUUGGCGGGGUAAUGGCCCACCAAGACGAUGAUCGGUAUCCGGCCUGAGAGGGCGCACGGACACACUGGAACUGAAACACGGUCCAGACUCCUACGGGAGGCAGCAGUGGGGAAUUUUGCGCAAUGGGGGAAACCCUGACGCAGCAACGCCGCGUGGAGGAUGAAGCCCCGUUGGGGUGUAAACUCCUUUCGAUCGGGAGAUAAUGACGGUACCGAUAUAAGAGCCCCGGCUAACUUCGUGCCAGCAGCCGC